rfam:Dethiosulfatarculus sandiegensis strain SPR contig_29, whole genome shotgun sequence.
GGCUUUUUUCGCCCAGGCGGAGCUCGACCGCAUACCGAGGUGAUGGUGCGGUUUAUUGACGAGCAUCGUCAUAUCUGCGGGGUCGAGCCGAUCUGCGCUUUAUUGCCGAUCGCCCCG